GUACGUUCCCUGCCACAAAUGCAGCCACAAAUGAACUAGAAACCCACGUACGAAACAUCAUUGCAUCUCCCAACUUUUCUCCCGAAGCGUUAGCCCUGUUCGGCCCCUUGGUCUUUCGCCUCUUCCUCCACCUUCCACCCAUGGUUCCCUUCAUCUCCCCCAAUCAAUAAAUCUCUACUGCAGUCCUUCCGGUUCUUCCCUUCUUCCCUCUAUUUAUGGAUCCCUCCAUCUUGCUUUUGUUGCCGACCUAAACCGCAAGAUGCAAGAUGGUUGCCGGUGCGGACAAGAUUGGCCUAUGCGUACACCUCGCCGUUUGCCCAACCGCAGUGAACCAUGCUUGCCACCCCUGACGUCCUCCCCAGCAUCACCUGCGCUAGAGAAUUGAUGAGAAGGGCGAGAGCGACGGCUGCAAGGUUUACUUCUUUGGCGGCACUGAUGGAGGUCCAGAUCCCAAUCCAAGUAGCGCCUCCGUCGCCCAAGGUAGGAGCAGGAAGAUGGGGUCGCCUCAUCGUUUCUUCGUCUAGAUCUCCACGUCCGUGUAGUUUUCCUGGAGGCCUGGAUAUUGCGUGAUGUGCAGGACGAUUAGUGAUGCAUAUGUGCUUUGCGUUCCUGGUGUGUAUAUAACUGCAUAUGCACAUUAUUUUUUUCAUCUUUUUGCAAUUUCUUUUCAGACUUUAGUGAUUGGUUUGUGGCCUGAGCUUAUGUACAGAUUCUAAAGUGUAUAUAUGUGUUGCUGCCA